UAUUAACAAACAAGAUCGGGUAGGCAUAUAAGUUAAUAAAACUUGAAGAAAAUAAAAAGAGAAAAGAAAAGACAAGAGUGAACCUCAAAGGAUCUUUAACAAAACAGAAAUUUGGAUUGAAUCUCGGAUCGCGAUCGAAACAUCCAAAACUUCGAAUACUCACCUCAACUAGUUUUGGCGAAAAACUCGACAAAUCCGAAAACAAAAAAGUUAAAAAUCAGAACAAAUGAGACCCACGAAUCCCUUUCCUCUAAGUUCUCUUACUGUGCGUGCGUGUGUGGGGGGAUCUGCUGAAGCUUUUGGAAUUAGGAUCUGUUUUCG
rnacentral:lncRNA from 1 species